CGGCAGCACAGAGAAGAUUAGCAUGGCCCCUGGGAAAGGAUGACACACAAAUUGGUGAAGCGUUCCAUAUUUAA
rnacentral:snRNA from 1 species